rnacentral:tRNA from 1 species
GGAGUUGUGCCUGAAUUUUAAGGGCCACUUUGAUAGAGUGAAACAUGGGGGUUAAAAUCCCCCCGACUCCU